CCCCGUAGCUCAGUUGGUAGAGCAUGGUGUUUGCAAUGCCAGGGUUGUGGGUUUGAUUCCCACGGGGG
rnacentral:tRNA from 1 species